rnacentral:misc_RNA from 1 species
UUUCCGUAGGUGAACCUGCGGAAGGAUCAUUAUUGUAUAACCGAGGUGCGAGGGCUGUCGCUGACCCCAGAGGUCGUGCACGCCCGAGUGCCCUCACACACAUCCAUCUCACCCCUAUGUGCACCACCGCGUGGGUCCCCCUUUGGCUUGUUCGGAGGGGGGCUUACGUUUUCACACAAACUUUGUAUGCAGUGUAGAAUGUAUUUUUUGUUUUUGCGAUCACGCAAUCAAUACAACUUUCAACAACGGAUCUCUUGGCUCUC